rnacentral:rRNA from 1 species
CUGAGGAUACGGUUAACGGAGCGAAAGCGACGUUCAACCUCAAAAGAAGCAGAGGGGGCUUAGUGGUGGGGUGACUGCGUACCUUUUGUAUAAUGGGUCAGCGACUUAUAUUCUGUAGCAAGGUUAACCGAAUAGGGGAGCCGGAGGGAAACCGAGUCUUAACCGGGCGUUAAGUUGCAGGGUAUAGACCCGAAACCCGGUGAUCUAGCCAUGGGCAGGUUGAAGGUUGGGUAACACUAACUGGAGGACCGAACCGACUAAUGUUGAAAAAUUAGCGGAUGACCUGUGGCUGGGGGUGAAAGGCCAAUCAAACCGGGAGAUAGCUGGUUCUCCCCGAAAGCUAUUUAGGUAGCGCCUCGUGAAUUCAUCUCCGGGGGUAGAGCACUGUUUCGGCUAGGGGGCCAUCCCGGCUUACCAACCCGAUGCAAACUGCGAAUACCGGAGAAUGUUAUCACGGGAGACACACGGCGGGUGCUAACGUCCGUCGUGAAGAGGGAAACAACCCAGACCGCCAGCUAAGGUCCCAAAGUCAUGGUUAAGUGGGAAACGAUGUGGGAAGGCCCAGACAGCCAGGAUGUUGGCUUAGAAGCAGCCAUCAUUUAAAGAAAGCGUAAUAGCUCACUGGUCGAGUCGGCCUGCGCGGAAGAUGUAACGGGGCUAAACCAUG